GUCUCUGGACAGUUCAGUUGGUUAGAGCAUGGUGCUGAUAAUGCUAAGGUUGCAGGUUUGAUUCUUGUAUUGGACA